UACGUAGGGUGCGAGCGUUAAUCGGAAUUACUGGGCGUAAAGCGUGCGCAGGCGGUCGUGCAAGACAGAUGUGAAAUCCCCGGGCUUAACCUGGGAACUGCAUUUGUGACUGUACGGCUGGAGUGCGGCAGAGGGGGAUGGAAUUCCGCGUGUAGCAGUGAAAUGCGUAGAUAUCAGGAGGAAUACCGAUGGCGAAGGCAGGUCUCUGGGCUGACACUGACGCUCAUGCACGAAAGCGUGGGGAGCAAACAGG
rnacentral:rRNA from 1 species